rnacentral:rRNA from 1 species
AUUGAACGCUGGCGGCAGGCCUAACACAUGCAAGUCGAACGAGGCGCGGACGGGUGAGUAAUGUCUGGGAACCUGCCUGAUGGAGGGGGUUAACUACUGGAAACGGUAGCUAAAACGGCAUUGCAUCGGAUGGGCCCAGAUGGGAUUAGCUAGUAGGUGGGGUAACGGCUCACCUAGGCCACGGUCCCUAGCUGGUCUGAGAGGAUGAACAGCCAAACUGCAACAGAGAGACGGUCCAGACUCCCACGGGAGGCAGCAGUGGGGAAUAUGGCGCAAUGGGAGCAAGCGCGAUGCAGCCAUGCCGCGUGUAUGCAGAAGGCAUUCGGGUUGUAAAGUACUUUCCGCGGGGAGGCGGUACCCGCAGAAGAAGCACCGGCUAACUCCGUGCCAGCAGCCGCGGUAAUAC